AUGGCCUGGGUGGAGAUGACCAUCCAUUCUCCUCCAGCAGCCUGCGGUCAAGAUCAUGCAGGUUCGGACCGAAGCUUCCUCCGGCUGUCCAGUACGUUGAGCAUGGCAGCGUUGGUGAUAAGGGUCAUCUUCCCAAGCGACCCAAGACGCUCGCCGCUAUUGCCGCCGGCAGAUCACAAGGCCGAAGGAGGUGGUUCGUCCGAUCGAUGCGAGGGGGCAAUUUUCGUCCUGACCAUGGCGGCACCGUCCGGCCACUUGAGCCACAGAUUGCAGUGGCCAUUCAAGGGUCUUCAUGAGAGUUUUUUCUUAGGACCCACUGGUUGUUGCCAGCAGCUCGCACUGGCGAGGUUGUGUGAUGUAACCGGAAGGCUCCAUUGGGAGUUUCGGUGGCUCUCAAUCCGGCCAGUUUGCAUUCAGUGGUGA
rnacentral:rRNA from 1 species